UGCUCAGAGUGAACGCUGGCGGACGUGGUUAAGACAUGCAAGUCGAGCGAGAACGAAAAAGCGUAGCAAUACGUGGAUGAGAAAGCGGCGAACGGGUGCGUAACACGUAAGCAACCUGCCCUAAAGACGGGGAUAGCUCGGGGAAACUCGAAUUAAUACCGGAUGUGGUUCUUUAACGCAUGUUAAAGAUACUAAAGCUUGAGAUGGCGCUUUAGGAGGGGCUUGCGGCCUAUCAGCUUGUUGGUGAGGUAAAGGCUCACCAAGGCAAAGACGGGUAGCGGGUCUGAGAGGACGAUCCGCCACACUGGAACUGAGGCACGGUCCAGACACCUACGGGUGGCAGCAGUUUCGAAUCAUUCACAAGUGGGGGAGACCCUGAUGGUGCAACGCCGCGUGAGGGGAAUGACGGCCUUCGGGUUGUAAACCUCUGUCACACAGGAACUAAACGCGAGGUUCAUAGCCUCGCUUGAAUUAACUGUGAGAGGAAGUAGUGGCUAACUCCGUGCCAGCAGCUGC
rnacentral:rRNA from 1 species